rnacentral:rRNA from 1 species
GGAAAGAUGACAAGCACUUUGGAAAGAGAGUUAAACAGUACGUGAAAUUGCUGAAAGGGAAACGCUUGAAGUCAGUCGCGUCGUCCGGAACUCAGCCUUGCUUCGGCUUGGUGCACUUUCCGGAUGACGGGCCAGCAUCGAUUUUGACCGCUGGAAAAGGGCUGGAGGAAUGUGGCACCUUCGGGUGUGUUAUAGCCUUCAGUCGCAUACAGCGGUUGGGAUCGAGGAACGCAGCACGCCUUAUGGCUGGGGUUCGCCCACAUUCGUGCUUAGGAUGCUGUGAUAAUGGCUUUAAACGACCCGUCUUGAAACACGGACCAA